AGAAUAACUUCAUUAUUAUGAUGAGUAAACCCUCUUGGUCCGUGUUUAUGAUCUAAAUGAUUCUGCUAAAGAGGUCUGACUCUUAAAACUACGUUUGAAGAGGAUAAAUUUUUAUGCACAUGUUGUAGUGGAAAAUGUUUCUAUUGCAGGAGCUGGUGUGGCUUCCAUGUCAACAGGACUUUUGUGGAAGGUUUAAGAAAUUGUGCUUCUAUAGGAAAAUGUCCUGAUCUUGCUAUCCAGUUUUGAAGGAUAUUUAUUUUGGCUUUCGGUUGCCAGGCUGAUAUUGGUCAGUGAAUAUGAAUAUGGCUUUGAAGAUGGGACAAAAGGAAAUGUGCAAGCAGGAUGGGCAUAUCUUUAAAAUAAAAGGAAGCUUGUGAGGUUUCAAGGCUACCAACAUGACCUGCUUGAAAGAUGUCCAGGGCUUGUGGCCAUAUUGAAGCACACGGCUUGUCAGGAUGUGAAGUUUUAGAUUUGCCUUUGGUAUUUGGAGAGCACUGGCUGAUGGUAUUGACCAGUGACCAUGACCUUAAGUUAAAGGUAAGACCUCGUUUUUGUAUUGGAUAUAAACUUGGAUUUCCAUGAGAAUGUAGAUUAUGGCACAUUGUAUACAGGAUGAAAACCUUUUUUCAGAGCAUUGGGUUAUGAAAACCAUGAUUACGUCUUGAC